AGCGAACGCUAGCGGCGGGCCUAACACAUGCAAGUCGAGCGGGGGAGCAAUCCCCAGCGGCGGACGGGUGAGUAACACGUAGGUUAUGUGCCCUUUGGUGGGGAAUAACCGUGGGAAACCAUGGCUAAUUCCGCAUAUCGAGCGAAAUCUUGAAAGCCUUCGGGCGCCAAAGGAGCAACCUGCGGCCCAUUAGCUUGUUGGUAGGGUAACGGCCUACCAAGGCGAUGAUGGGUAGCUGGUCUGAGAGGAUGAUCAGCCACACUGGAACUGAGACACGGUCCAGACUCCUACGGGAGGCAGCAGUGGGGAAUAUUGCGCAAUGGGCGAAAGCCUGACGCAGCCACGCCCGCGUGAGUGAUGAAGGCCUUCGGUC
rnacentral:rRNA from 1 species